AUUGAACGCUGGCGGCAUGCCUAACACAUGCAAGUCGAACGAGUGGCGGACGGGUGAGUAAUGUAGGGGAAACUGCCUGAUGGAGGGGGAUAACUACUGGAAACGGUAGCUAAUACUGCAUACGAUCAGUUGUGCCCAGAUGGGAUUAGCUUGUUGGUGGGGUAACGGCUCACCAAGGCGACGAUCCCUAGCUGGUCUGAGAGGAUGACCAGCCACACUGGAACUGAGACACGGUCCAGACUCCUACGGGAGGCAGCAGUGGGGAAUAUUGCACAAUGGGCGCAAGCCUGAUGCAGCAAUGCCGCGUGGAUGAAGAAGGCCUUCGGGUUGUAAAGUUCUUUCAGCGGGGAGGCGGUACCCGCAGAAGAAGCACCGGCUAACUCCGUGCCAGCCGCCGCGGUAAUUC
rnacentral:rRNA from 1 species